UACAGAGGGUGCAAGCGUUAAUCGGAAUUACUGGGCGUAAAGCGCACGUAGGCGGUUAGUUAAGUCAGAUGUGAAAGCCCCGGGCUCAACCUGGGAAUUGCAUUUGAAACUGGAAAACUAGAGUGUGUGAGAGGGGGGUAGAAUUCCAAGUGUAGCGGUGAAAUGCGUAGAGAUUUGGAGGAAUACCAGUGGCGAAGGCGGCCCCCUGGCACAACACUGACGCUCAGGUGCGAAAGCGUGGGGAGCAAACAGG
rnacentral:rRNA from 1 species